CUCUCCAUAGCUCAGUGGUAGAGCAUUUGACUGUAGAUCGAGGGGCCGUCGGUUCGACUCCGGCUGGGGAGA
rnacentral:tRNA from 1 species